rfam:Gossypium raimondii Chr09_contig_1333, whole genome shotgun sequence.
CACGUCAGAGCGCUAUGCUGACGUGGCAACAAAUCGUGCUCUCAAGGCCGCGCUUUGUUGCUACGUCAGAAUAGCGCUCUGACAUGG